CCUACGGGUGGCAGCAGUGGGGAAUAUUGGACAAUGGGCGAAAGCCUGAUCCAGCCAUGCCGCGUGUGUGAAGAAGGCCUUCGGGUUGUAAAGCACUUUCAGUGGGGAAGAAAGCCUUGGGGCUAAUACCCUCGAGGAAGGACAUCACCCACAGAAGAAGCACCGGCUAACUCCGUGCCAGCAGCCGCGGUAAUACGGAGGGUGCGAGCGUUAAUCGGAAUUACUGGGCGUAAAGCGCGCGUAGGCGGUCUGAUAAGCCGGUUGUGAAAGCCCCGGGCUCAACCUGGGAACGGCAUCCGGAACUGUCAGGCUAGAGUGCAGGAGAGGAAGGUAGAAUUCCCGGUGUAGCGGUGAAAUGCGUAGAGAUCGGGAGGAAUUCCAGUGGCGAAGGCGGCCUUCUGGACUGACACUGACGCUGAGGUGCGAAAGCGUGGGUAGCAAACAGGAUUAGAUACCCCUGUAGUC
rnacentral:rRNA from 1 species